AAUGAACGUUGGCGGCGUGGAUUAGGCAUGCAAGUCGUGCGGGAGUAGCAAUACUCUAGCGGCGAAAGGGAGAGUAACACGUGGAUACCAACCCUUGGGACUGGGAUAGCUACGGGAAACUGUAGGUAAUACCAGAUGACGUCUCCGGACCAAAGGUGUGAUUCCGCCCGAGGACGGGUCCGCGUUCUAUUAGCUAGUUGGUAGGGUAAUGGCCUACCAAGGCCAAGAUGGAUACGGGGUGUGAGAGCAUGCCCCCGCUCACUGGGACUGGGAGACUGCCCAGACACCUACGGGUGGCUGCAGUCGAGGUUCUUCGGCAAUGGGCGCAAGCCUGACCGAGCGACGCCGCGUGCGAGAUGAAGGCCUUCGGGUUGUAAAUCGCUGUCAGUGGGGAGGAAAUGCCGGUGGGUUCUCCCAUCGGUUUGACCUAUCCGCAGAGGAAGGACGGGCUAAGUUCGUGCCAGCAGCCGCCGUAAAAC
rnacentral:rRNA from 1 species